rnacentral:misc_RNA from 1 species
UUAACUAUUAUAUAGUUCUCAGACAAUACAAAAUUCAGAGUUUAGGGUCCUCUGGCGGGCACUCACUAGCUAGAAGCCGGUGGCCGAAGCGGCCCGCCAAAGCAACAAUGGUAAGAUAUUCAAGGGUGGGAGAUCUACCCCGAAGGGCAUGAACUCUGUAAUGAUCCUUCCGCAGGUUCACCUACGGAAA